ACUCCUACGGGAGGCAGCAGUGGGGAAUGAUUGCACAAUGGGGGAAACCCUGAUGCAGCCAUGCCGCGUGUGUGAAGAAGGCCUUCGGGUUGUAAAGCACUUUCAGCGAGGAGGAAAGGGUGUGUGUUAAUACCAUACAUCUGUGACGUUACUUCGCAGAAGAAGCACCGGCUAACUCCGUGCCAGCAGCCGCGGUAAUACGGAGGGUGCGAGCGUUAAUCGGAAUUACUGGGCGUAAAGCGCAUGCAGGUGGUUUGUUUAAGUCGAGAUGUGAAAGCCCGGGGCUCAACCUCGGAAUUGCAUUUUGAAACGUGGCAG
rnacentral:rRNA from 1 species